rnacentral:lncRNA from 1 species
AUGUGGUCUAGGACAAAGCCAGUGGGAGAAAACCAUAUUUAUGGACCCCACGUUGGUUCCCUCCCAUCUUUAAAAGAUAAAAACCCCCAUAGGACAAUAGAGAGUGGGGGCUCUUCUCCCCCUCCCGGCAGCCCUGGGAGCUGUUUGCUUUCCUUUAAUAAAGACGUUGCUUGCUUUCUGCCUGUGUGUUCGCAAAGUUCAUUCUUUGGCUGCGUGAACAGGAACCUGGAUUCUGGUAACAUCUUUCUGGCAUCAUCUUUUGGGGGCUCGUCUGGGAUCCAAGCCAAUACACCAGCACUCACCAGAUGCCACAUGGUAAAGACAAAUUUAUCACUCAGUCAGCACCAGAUAUACAGAGAAAGCUCCAAAAAUUGGCUCUUGGUCCUGAUCAGGACCGGCAGCACCUCCUUAGAGCAGCAACUACAUCAUAGUCGGGACCAGGAAGAAGGAAAGGAGAACCAGAGGAGGCACAGAGAAAAGCCUGAGGCUCCAGUUUGCAGCUACAGGGAGUCAGCGGGGAGCUUCCAAGGCCAGAGGACUAGGGCAGAGACCUGAGCCAGGAGCCUGUUUCCUCUGUUCCUCUGUGGAAAAGAGGACACUUUAAAUGGGAAUGCCCCCAAGCUCAGGCCACCGCACCUAGGCCUCUAGGCAUAAACCCCCCUAUUGGACAAUGGUGGUGGUGGGGGGGGCUCUUCUCCCCCCUCCCAGCAGCCCUGGAGCUAUUUGCUUUCCUGUAAUAAAGACUUUGCUUGCUUGCUGCCUGUGUGUUCCAGGAGUUCAUUCUUCAGCUGGGUGAACAAGAACCCGGAUUCCAGUAACAUCCUUCUGGCAUCGCUUCCAUGUGCCGCAGGUAAGGCCAUAAAAAGACAAUCAAUCAAAUCAAAUCAAAUCAAAUCAAAUAAAAAUUAACUGGAAUAUAUAUAACAAAAGAAAUUAGAUUGUAAAUCUAACAAACAGUUAAAAAAUACCUAUAAAGGGCGCAUUAUAUUUCUUGCUUAAAGUAGAAUGUAAAAGCUCAUGCCACUUUCAGAAAAAAAAAAAGAUUCACAGUAACAAAUAUUUAUUGGUCAUCUUUGUUCCAGAUCCUGGGUAUUCAGCAAGAGUUCCCUUGAGAAACACAUUUUUUUUUUUUUUUUUGCAUCCAAACGGUAUUAAAAUACACUUACAUCCAAAAUGGAUUCAUGCAUUUAUUUAUUUUUUCUUUUAGGGCCACAUCUGUGGCAUAUGAAAGUUCCCAGGCUAGGGGUAAAAUUGGAGCUACCGCUGCCAGCCCACAUCACAGCCAUAGCAACACUGGAUCCCAGCCGCAUCUUUGACCUACACUGAAGCUCAUGGCCAUGCCUGAUGCUUAACCCACUGAGCAGGUCCGGAUAUUGAACCUUCGUCUUCAUGGAUACUAGUCGGGUUUGUUACCUCUAAGCCUCAAUAGAAACUCCUCGGCAUUUAUUUUUAUUAAGUAUUCAAGAAGCUUAGAGGCGAACAUAAGUCUCAAGAAAUGGAAAAUAAAAUACCUCUAGAGUCACUGUGGGGGAGCACAUUGG